GGUUCUCUCCGAAAUAGCUUUAGGGCUAGCCUCAAGUGAUGAUUAUUGGAGGUAGAGCACUGUUUGGACGAGGGGCCCCUCUCGGGUUACCGAAUUCAGACAAACUCCGAAUGCCAAUUAAUUUAACUUGGGAGUCAGAACAUGGGUGAUAAGGUCCGUGUUCGAAAGGGAAACAGCCCAGACCACCAGCUAAGGUCCCAAAAUAUAUGUUAAGUGGAAAAGGAUGUGGCGUUGCCCAGACAACUAGGAUGUUGGCUUAGAAGCAGCCAUCAUUUAAAGAGUGCGUAAUAGCUCACUAGUCGAGUGACACUGCGCCGAAAAUGUACCGGGGCUAAACAUAUUACCGAAGCUGUGGAUUGUCCUUUGGACAAUGGUAGGAGAGCGUUCUAAGGGCGUU
rnacentral:rRNA from 1 species